UAGGGAAUCUUCCACAAUGGACGAAAGCCUGAUGGAGCAACGCCGCGUGAGUGAAGAAGGGUUUCGGCUCGUAAAACUCUGUUGUUAAAGAAGAACAUAUCUGAGAGUAACUGUUCAGGUAUUGACGGUAUUUAACCAGAAAGCCACGGCUAACUACGUGCCAG
rnacentral:rRNA from 1 species